UAUAGUAUAAGGGCGUAGGCUAAUUCAUUGUCUAGGUAGCUUUUCUUGAAAGACUAAGAUUUUUGUAAAUACAAUCAGUCCAUCGAUAGGCCCUUCUUGUCUUAAUGAUAACUCCGUCAAAGGGCUUUCUCUGAAUGUCCGCAAGCAUCGUACUUCUCCUGCCCAAUAGAACACCCCCUUGCCUUUUCUCGCCUUAACUCCUUACCGUGCCUGAAUCUCCUCUCAUGAGCCUUGCCCUUCAAAAAGUCUAUUUAUGAGGUUCGGGUGUUGAUAUCGGUAACUCUUUCUCAUAUUCUAAUACAGGAAAUCGACCCGACCUUAAAUCAAUUGAAUUGAGUGCUUUUCUUAAUUAUCACUACUCCCAUGAACGGAACACUAACAUAUUCUUUCAAGUGUCAAGCGAGGAAAGUAAUCUUUCUGACUUCCCAACGAUCUCCCGUUGUAAGCCAGACGCGGGACCUAAAUCCACUUCAACGCUAGGGAGCUCUAACGUGCCAUUUAGUAGCACUCAUGGGAUCUGGUCAACAAAGGUGUAACUAUGAAGUCAGUCGGGGAGAGGAGCGAAAAGCGAUAACUAAAAAAUCUCCCCAAGUAGGAUUCGAACCUACGACCAAUCGGUUAACAGCCGACCGCUCUACCACUGAGCUACUGAGGA
rnacentral:tRNA from 1 species